GUAGAGCUGCUGGAGCUCUCAGGCAAGCUCAUUGAUAAAGCUGACUAAUCAAAUUACGUGCUUUAUGACUUCAGUGGGUUGCCUGCAGGUUGGAGAAGGACUCGUAAGGAAGCAUUAGAUCGAUCACAGCAGAUCAGGGAGACGUGCUGGCAGGUGUCAGGAAGAGCUCUGCUAUGCCUUAUUCACUUAACUCAGGGCCGUGAGAUUUUUUCCCUUCUCUGGCUGGCAGGGUUCAGGGUGGGAGUUAAGACCCUCUAGAGACUGGGCUGAGUUUGCCUGCUGAGACUGCUGGAGACUGCCUAAUCAACAUUCUGCUAACUCUGGGAGCUCACAUACUGAUGGAAUUGAACUUGAAUAUCUGUUAAUAGCUUGGUGUGAUAAAAGACCACACACUGCUCCUUUCCUUCCGUUCUGUUCUCCUUCCCAUCUCUGCAUACUCCUCACUUUUUGCCUGUUCCUCUCAAUAACAAACUUGUUCAGUGAUACGCUUUUUAAGAAAAAUAUUAGCAACGCUGUCUUGCUGAACUCACAGCUAGAAGAAGCCAGUCCCUCUCAGACUGGUGCUUUUCAGAGAAGCUCACUAAGAAUUAAUUUUUCAAGAUAGCUUAAAUCAUUUGCUGUCCUCGUAUGACAAAUGCUGCAACACUCCACUGCUAAAUUGCCCUUUUCUACUUUAUUGGCUACUGCAUCCAUCAUUUCCAAUAAAAAUAAAGCUAGCAGUUGUCCUUGGUAAGAGCACGUUGUGACACCAAUGGUGCUGAGAAAAGGAAGUGGUGCCUAUUCAGGUCAGUCAGGAGGAGUGGCUUGUUGCAGGGUAGAAGAACUUAAAUCUUCAGAAACCUGCUUGAGAAACUAAGACUCAUCAGUUUUUAAGAAAGCUCAUCCUUUAUUGUGGGGUGCUGCUGUAUGCUGCAGACUUCUGAGCAUGUUAGUGCUGAUAUCUAGAUCCAAAAUAUCCUUCCACACGUUACUAAAAUGGCUCCAGAUGCAAAUCAAAACUGGAUGUCUGAAAACCCAGCAGUAAGAGGUCUUCUGCCACCAUUCAUCAAGGCAUGGAGAGAGAAGUGUUGAUUACUGAGGUGGUGGAUCUAGGAGUGGGACGGUGUCCUCUUCUGCUCCAGGAUGCAUCCUGUGUAAAGAGACACUAAAAGCUAGUCCGGGAACGCUUUGAUCCUCUCCUGCCGUCUCUUGGCACAUGCAGUCCACUUUGUUCUCUCACUAAAAGCCUAAGUGGCUUUUCAUAUCUGCAGUGUCUGAUGCUCUUGAACUGACAAGGAAGGUGGCUGGUUCCUGGGGAAGUCAACUUGGGAAAGUUCUUUCAUGCCGCUCUCAGGCCUUGACGAGUUUCAUCCUACCUCCCAAAGAAAUCCUCCUCCUGGACCUGCACCUGCAGCACAGAGAUCUUCAAAGAGGGAGGGGGAAGAAGUGGCGAGAGCAAAAUAAAACAGGACCAUCGAGCAACAUCAGUCUUGUGACACCCUUCCUCACAGCGGUCGCUUCUCUGUGAUGUUGCAUCAUUUCUAAAAAUAGAACUUAAGGUCCUUUGGGAAACAGCACUUGUCUUUUGUUCUGUAAAAUACCCCGUGUGUUUUGAGUCUUGCUUAAAAAAGCCGUGUGUGAAGUAGAAGAAUAGAGUGGGGUUUAAGACACUUUAUUUCCUUGUUCUCACAUAUAGUCCUGCUUCUUAGUGGUGAUA